rnacentral:lncRNA from 1 species
GAUCCAAAAUUCAAGUUAGACUUGGUACAAAAGAUCUAAACAGUUUGAAAUUGACAGCCUUUUAAAAUUAUUUCGAACCAGCUUCGAAUUGGAUUCGAAUCGGACUCGUUUUAAUGAGAUAUGAGAAUUCUCACUUACACUGAGAUUCUUCUCUCAUGUGGGCUGACCAACAUCUGGAAUGGUGCUGGUUUGAGGCAUCCCAUA